AACGUGGCCUGAUGAGCAGUGCCAUGUCUGUGCCCAGGAUCCGAGCCGGUGAAACCCUUGUCCACCGCAGCAGAGUGUGGGAACUUAACCACUUGGCCAUGGGGCCGGCCCCUCAAUACUUUGCUAUCAUGACCAUCGUUACCAGUAACUUUCUUGUGAUUGUCCUGUACACGUGCAAGAGAUGCUCUAAGGUUUCAUUUUUAUUUGUUCAAUCUUGAAAGAGCAAGCAAAGAUAUAACCUGGCAUAUUUUAAGAAAUGACUCCGUAGAAGCAGAAUGGCCGAAGUUAAGAACACGGACAGUCCAGCCACAGUGCCUGAUGUCAAAUCCUGUCUCUGCCUGCAACAGGCUGUGUGAUCUUGGGAGCUGGAAGACAAGUUCAAGUAUGUGGCUUUUACGUCAAGUUCUAUAGGCGUAGACCUAGUGGGGACAUUUUUUGUACCGAGAUGAGUUGCUUUCUGACUUUGUUCUUUGGUUUUCUAAGCAUUUUAGAGGCAAAAUAAUAUCCUUCUUAUAUGACUCUUUUCUCCUUUCUUCCACUAUUUCUUAACGGUGCUAUUAGUUCUGGGUGGUUAUUCCCCUCUACUCUUUCUCGCUUUUCUC